rnacentral:rRNA from 1 species
GCAGGUCCGCCUGCUGUGGUGCGGGUGCGGCCCCUUCACAGGGCGUGCGGCCCGCCCCAGGCGCGGCGGCCUUUAGGGACCCCUCAAACCUUUUGUAAACGCUGUAACAGUCUGAGAAACAAAAAAAAACAAUUAAAACUUUCAACAAUGGAUCUCUUGGUUCUGGCAUCGAUGAAGAACGCAGCAAAAUGCGAUAAGUAGUGUGAAUUGCAGAAUUCCGUGAAUCAUCGAAUCUUUGAACGCACAUUGCGCCCUUUGGUAUUCCUUAGGGCAUGCCUGUUCGAGCGUCAUUUUCACCCUCAAGCUCAGCUUGGUGUUGGGCGUCUGUCCCGCCGUCACGGCGAGGACUCGCCUCAAAUCGAUUGGCGUCCUCCCGGCAGCUCAAAGCGCAGCAGACUUGCGCCGCGUGCGGCCCGCGGGGGGUUCAACCAACAAGACCUUCUCCAGGUUGACCUCGGAUCAGGUAGGGAUACCCGCUGAACUUAAGCAUAUCAAUAAGCGGAGGAA